GCAUUGAUGGGGUAGUGGUAACCUGGGUCGUUGCCAUGAAGUUGGUCGUGGUUAGUGACUCCUCGACCCGCCGGGGGUUCGAUUCCCUCUCAAUGCA